rnacentral:rRNA from 1 species
CCAAUAGCGUAUAUUAAAGUUGCUGCAGUUAAAAAGCUCGUAGUUGAAUUUCGGGAUCAAUAUGUUGGUCGUGCCUUGGUACGUACUAGCUUAUUGAUUUCUCCCUUCUGACGAACCAUGAUGUCAUUAAUUUGGUGUCAUGGGGAAUUAGGACUGUUACUUUGAAAAAAUUAAAGUGUUUAAAGCAGGCUCACGCUUGA